rnacentral:pre_miRNA from 1 species
AGGAGGAACAACCCCAGUGGCGGCUGCAGCUCUGGAAACCUGGAUUCAGCUCCCACGGUAACUCCGGAGCUCUCCGUCUGCAGGGCCUGGAUGCUCCGGGGGUGG